rnacentral:rRNA from 1 species
UACGGGGGGAGCAAGCGUUGUUCGGAUUUACUGGGCGUAAAGGGCGCGUAGGCGGCCACUGCAAGUCAGUUGUGAAAUCUCCGGGCUUAACCCGGAAAGGUCAACUGAUACUGCAGGGCUAGAGUGCAGAAGGGGUAACUGGAAUUCUCGGUGUAGCGGUGAAAUGCGUAGAUAUCGAGAGGAACACCUGCGGCGAAGGCGGGUUGCUGGGCUGACACUGACGCUGAUGUGCGAAAGCUAGGGGAGCGAACGGG